UCCAGUCUCAUCAGGGAGAUUCCAGAGAUUGAAGAUCAAGAUGUCUCACAAGACUCUCACGAACUGAGUUUGGUUGCUGCUCCUGAGAGGAAGACCCGUUCCCAGCUGGAGGGAGGUCCUCACAAAGAUCUCAUCACCAGCACCUGUGAGAAUCAUAGCAUCAGCCCCAGCGAUGUCCCGAGUUCCCCAAAAGGAGAUGUUAUCAAAGGAAAAUGGAAGCCCAGGAAAUGGGAACUGGCCUGCAGGUUCCCUGGCCUGGAGAUGAAGGCCAAACCACAGCCCACGGAAAGGAAAAUCGCAUGCCAAUUCCCUGGCCUGGAGAUAAAGGGCAAACCACAGACCAACAUGUGGGCACUGGCAUUCAGAUUCCUGGGCCUCCCUGCCUAGGAUCCAGAGAUCCCAAGUACAGUUGGAAGUAUAGAACAGUAUUGCUGAUUGUAACAUCCCCACCUCCUCAAAACAUCUAACACAGGAGCUCCGCUUCAACAGCAACCAGAACACCAAGAACGCAAUUUCAACCCCAUGAACUGCCCUCGGCUAUUUGUAUCCACCAGGCUGCUUCCCUGAGAGCUGGCACCGUCUUCCACCUCCAAUCCGAGCAAACACCUAAGGAGACCCAGGCCUGACUCCACAGCUGCUCCCGAGAGAACACCACCUGGCUCCUCUCCAACUGCCUCCUGUAGAGAUCUGGGGUCAGGAGGAGCUGGAAGCAAACAGCAUAGGACCCUGGGCACACACUGCCUUUGGAUGGGGCGAGCUCGGUGUGGGCAGUGUCAGAGACACAGCGCCCUGCGCACAAGGCUGUGUGUGAGCAGAGGAGAGGAUCGGACUCUGCAGGACGUGGACCCUGGCCCAGACAGCUGGCCCUCUCCUUCACACAGCCAGCGUUCCGCAUAGAGGACAGCAGCAGGAGGAGACUUUGGGGCUCAAAAGGACAGGCAGGGUCUCUUUCCUCCUUUUGAACCCCAACCAUCUCCCCCUUCUGCUGUCUUCCAUGAUGGGAACGCUGACUGUGUGAAGGCGGCAGGCCAGGUGUCUGGCUCGGGGUCUGCAUCCUGAAGAUCUCUGAUGCUUUCCUCAAUUUUGCACUCAGCCUCACUCUUUGGCCAAGCACCCGAUGCAGGGAGUGCUGUGUGCUCCCUCCCACAUCCCCGCAGGAGGCAGAGAACCUCUUGUGUGCCCAUCAGGUCCCCUGGCCCUGGCAUCGGUCAGUGGUGAAAGCUGUCUGUUGAUCUGUACAUCCUAAAGAUGUGCUCCUUCCUCUGUAUUCCUAACAACUGUGGAGAGGGUGACCCCUCAGAGCCUGAGCAAAAAGGGAGUGAGCAGCGGCCCUGGCGGAGGUGCGGUCAUCAACCCAGGAGGUGGCCGUGGAUGGGCGUGAUAACAGCAAGUUCAUGGUGAUGAAUGCAGCAGUGUGGCCGGGAGGGGCCCAGGUGGGUGAGGUGGGCUGAGCCUGCAUCAAGGAACCGGACACCUCUCUGAGCACUCCUCUCUCCACACCCAGAGUCAGGCAGCCCAGAUGGGGGCAGGACCUCAGCUGCUGGUCCUGCCAACUCCAGUAGUGUUGCAGGAGAACUGGGGGCUCCUGAUGCAGGACGUGGGCCAAGGCAUCCAGAGCCCCAGCAAACAGCAAGGCCGUGUUCCUGCCGGGCCUGAGGCAGCUGCAGGACUUGAGGGGCCAUAUGCCUGCCCCCUGUCAUGGAAAACCGAGUCCUCGCAGAUUCUGGACACCCGCUGCUUAGUAGGUGCUCCUGGGCAAAGAACAAACCGAGCCAAUGGCACCGCUGCCCUGUGGUGGACCUGUUUCUCACAGCUACCAUUCUUACUUCCACUGUCUGUCAUGCCUGUGAUCAAGACAAUUGUUUUCCUUUCAUGAAAAUUGGGAUCCUAGGGAGGGAAUUGUGUUUCCACCUGAGUGUGGCCUCCUCUCAGUGUAACAGCUGCCUUAGACAUCGUGUCAGCACAUCUUGGGCAACUUCUCAUGAAGAUAUCGCUGUCCAGGCCCAUAAGUGUCUCCAGUGUCCUGGAGUGUAACUGGAAUCUCAAAAGUUUUGAUUCAGAUCCAAAUAUGUAUUCCCUGUUUUAGUUAAGUGUUUUUAAAA